GACGAACGCUGGCGGCGUGCUUAACACAUGCAAGUCGAACGGGCCCGCCCCUGUUUUUGGGGGUGGGUUGAGUGGCGAACGGGUGAGUAUCACGUGAGUAACCUGCCCCCUGCUCCUGGAUAACUGCUUGAAAGGGCGGCUAAUACGGGGUGUGCCGGCUGGUCCGCAUGGGCCUGGUCGGGAUAGUUUCAUCUUCGGGUGUUUCGGUGGGGGAUGGGCUCGCGGCCUAUCAGCUUGUUGGUGGGGUGAUGGCCCACCAAGGCGGUGACGGGUAGCCGGCCUGAGAGGGCGGGCGGCCACACUGGGACUGAGACACGGCCCAGACUCCUGCGGGAGGCAGCAGUGGGGGGUAUUGCACAAUGGGCGGAAGCCUGAUGCAGCGACGUCGCGUGAGGGAUGGAGGCCUUCGGGUUGUGAACCUCUUUCUCCGGUGGUGAAGGCCCUGUCCGUUGCGGCGGGGUUGACGGUAGCCGGGUAUGAAGCGCCGGCUAACUACGUG
rnacentral:rRNA from 1 species